GCUCUUGUUCCCGGACGGUGCGGACAGUACCUGAGCAAAGCCGGAGGCGGAUAGCUUUUUCUUCUUACUAGCACCAUAUCCCCCUCCGCUGCUGUUGUGAGAAGGGCUAGCUGGCCUCUUCUUGCUGUUCCUAGCUACGGCGGGGGUAGAAGUGGCAGCCACGAUGGGAAUUUGAGCCGCCAUUCUGCCCGCAGUCAGCCUGCAGAUCCCUGCCCCCACCCCUUCCAAGGCGAGCCCGAGAACUUCCGGCUCGAUGUUACUUCCGUGUUGAUGCUCGGAAACUCCGCAAGCCUCUUGGAGCUUAACCGAGUCCUCCCGGGCGGCUCUUAGGAGGCGGGGCUCGGAAGUGUUCCUUCCGGGUCGGAAGGCGCCCGCCUGGUGACUGCUGCUGGCGUUGUGAACCUUGACCUGGGGCACGCGCCUGGAGGGUCCCAGUGAGCAUCCGGUCUCUUAGUAACUUCAUUCUUUUUCUUGUUUUUUAGACAGGGUCUCUGGAUGACCUGCAGCUUCGCUAUGUAGACAGGUCUGACCUCAAACUCAGUUGCCCGAGUUAUCUUUGAAUUCUAAACCCUCUGUCCUCCACUUUCCAAAUGCCAGGAUUACAGACAGGUGCCACAACCCAUCUCAAUGUAAGAAUAAAGAAGGUUAAAUAUCA
rnacentral:lncRNA from 1 species